AAGCAAAGUGGCGCCUACCUUCCUGGUUAGUGGUAAACAUGUGUUUCAAACUCCAGUGGGAGCCAACCUCUGUUAGCAGAAGCUAUUGGCUACUAAGGCAGAAUCACAAAGCAAUAAGAGAAGAGAGGCAUCCUGUUGUUAUGGGGAGAACAUAUUCAUGAGCAUCUACGUGGGGGCUGUCUGCGAUGGCGGAUGAGGGAAGAUGGCCUUGCGACUUACUCACUCUGUUGGUUGCCUUUGCUGCUGACACCCAUCAGCUGCACUCUGCUUGCUCAUAGAACCCUGGUUUGGUUCAGGUCCCCGUGUGAGGACACAAUGCUGGGACUGCAGCUGCUAUCUAGACACCAUGAGGACAAACGCCUGCAAGCUGAGGAUAGUAGAGAGAGAAAAUGGAAAGAACCUGGGUCCUCGAUGACAUUUUUGAGCCACUCAUUUAAGUAACCUUGGAAUGUCUCUGCUUUGGAAGCUCUUAUUGUGAGAGAAUAAUUUGUCCCUGUUGCUCGAGGCCACCCUGUUUGGGUUUGCUGUUACAAAAGCCUG
rnacentral:lncRNA from 1 species